GCAAGUCGAACGGCAGCAUAGGAGCUUGCUCCUGAUGGCGAGUGGCGAACGGGUGAGUAAUAUAUCGGAACGUGCCCUAGAGUGGGGGAUAACUAGUCGAAAGACUAGCUAAUACCGCAUACGAUCUAAGGAUGAAAGUGGGGGAUCGCAAGACCUCAUGCUCCUGGAGCGGCCGAUAUCUGAUUAGCUAGUUGGUGGGGUAAAAGCCUACCAAGGCGACGAUCAGUAGCUGGUCUGAGAGGACGACCAGCCACACUGGGACUGAGACACGGCCCAGACUCCUACGGGAGGCAGCAGUGGGGAAUUUUGGACAAUGGGGGCAACCCUGAUCCAGCAAUGCCGCGUGAGUGAAGAAGGCCUUCGGGUUGUAAAGCUCUUUUGUCAGGGAAGAAACGGUUUUGGCUAAUAUCCAGAACUAAUGACGGUACCUGAAGAAUAAGCACCGGCUAACUACGUGCCAGCAGCCGCGGUAAUACGUAGGGUGCAAGCGUUAAUCGGAAUUACUGGGCGUAAAGCGUGCGCAGGCGGUUGUGUAAGACAGAUGUGAAAUCCCCGGGCUCAACCUGGGAAUUGCAUUUGUGACUGCACGGCUAGAGUGUGUCAGAGGGGGGUAGAAUUCCACGUGUAGCAGUGAAAUGCGUAGAUAUGUGGAGGAAUACCGAUGGCGAAGGCAGCCCCCUGGGAUAACACUGACGCUCAUGCACGAAAGCGUGGGGAGCAAACAGGAUUAGAUACCCUGGUAGUCCACGCCCUAAACGAUGUCUACUAGUUGUCGGGUCUUAAUUGACUUGGUAACGCAGCUAACGCGUGAAGUAGACCGCCUGGGGAGUACGGUCGCAAGAUUAAAACUCAAAGGAAUUGACGGGGACCCGCACAAGCGGUGGAUGAUGUGGAUUAAUUCGAUGCAACGCGAAAAACCUUACCUACCCUUGACAUGGUCGGAAUCCUGAAGAGAUUUGGGAGUGCUCGAAAGAGAACCGGCGCACAGGUGCUGCAUGGCUGUCGUCAGCUCGUGUCGUGAGAUUUGGGUUAAGUCCCGCAACGAGCGCAACCCUUGUCAUUAGUUGCUACGAAAGGGCACUCUAAUGAGACUGCCGGUGACAAACCGGAGGAAGGUGGGGAUGACGUCAAGUCCUCAUGGCCCUUAUGGGUAGGGCUUCACACGUCAUACAAUGGUACAUACAGAGGGCCGCCAACCCGCGAGGGGGAGCUAAUCCCAGAAAGUGUAUCGUAGUCCGGAUUGUAGUCUGCAACUCGACUACAUGAAGUUGGAAUCGCUAGUAAUCGCGGAUCAGCAUGUCGCGGUGAAUACGUUCCCGGGUCUUGUACACACCGCCCGUCACACCAUGGGAGCGGGUUUUACCAGAAGUGGGUAGCCUAACCGCAAGGAGGGC
rnacentral:rRNA from 1 species